CUCUUCUCUGUUCCAGAGGGUCUGGAGGCAGCAGUGAAAUCCACCUCAGGUUAGCCCUGGGCCUCAAAUCACUGGAUCCCUGGCGUGCGUGUGUGUGUGUGUGUGUGUGUGUGUGUGUGUGUGUGUUGUGGGGGGGGCGGGUGGGGAGCGGCGUUCUGCUGGACUCUUGAGCCUACCAGCCUCGAGCUUUAGGCAUAGCUUAGGCGGCAUUGUGAGGCACUGGAAAGGGCCCUGGCUGCCCCACCCCCCCAAGGCUGGCUCUAUCAGUUGCUUAUCAGACAAGUUAUGUAACUUCCUGAGGCCUUGCUUUCUCAUCUAUAAUGAGGAUGUUAAUAGCUACCUUAUGGGAAGGUAUGUGGAUUCAGUAAGAUAACACACACAAGCAGUAACUACUCAUCAAACAGUCCCGUCCUCCCCUUCACCAGCCUCAGAGUGGGAGGACUCUAGGAUGACUUGACUAGGCUCCCAGGAGACAUUGUGUGUGAUUCAAAACAUUCAUUGGAUUAAAAGUUCAAAUAUGAAUACAAUCUCUUUACAAGUCAAACUCUGAAGCAUGUGUAAAGGAAGAAAAAAUUCUCCCUUGCCUGCCUGCAGUUUCACUCCGAGAUAUCCAAUGUUCACAGCCUUGGGUGUCCUUCUGCAGAAUUUCUAUCCUCAAACACAAACAUAUAUAGAGGUGUUUCUUUUUCCUUUUUUUUUUCUAACACGUUGAGAUUCCACUAAACAUGUUUCUUUGCAACUUCGUUUUUCAUUUAAACAUAAGUCAUGUACCUUAACCUUGGUAAAUACAUGUGGAUCUAGCUCAUUCAUUUUAAUAGCUGCAUAGGGUUCCAAAGAAAGUAUGAACAAUAAUUUUCCAGCUAUUUCUCAUCUGAUGGAUUUUUUUUCCCACUACAAACAAUGCUGCAACGAUGAUCCUUGCACAAACAUCCUCAUGAAUUGAUGCUUUAAUUUCUAAGGGGUUCUUUCCCCGAAAUAUGAUUACUGGGUCAAAGGGUAUGCUACACACAGUUUAUAUUUUUUUACAGUUUAACACUGAGAGAUGACUUUCUCCAGAUUUUUUCGUUUCCCUCUCGGCGUCUGUUUGUUCCGGACACUUUCACUUUUCGAGUUCCAAGGAGGAGGUAGCCCGCGACACCGGCCGCGGGAAACACGAGUUGCAGCCAGCAUCCUAGUUAGCGUGGAUGCAGGUGGCACUCCGGGGACGAGGGGCUUAGUGGGGAGCACUACACAGCCAGAGGCGGAGGCCCGAGAUCUAGCACGACGCUGGGCAAGUGACGGCCCCUCCCCGGCCUUGGUUUUCUUCUGCGUAGUCUGUGACUCUAAACAACAUUAGGCUCAGCCUGGGCCUAGAGCUGGUGACCUCAAAUCUCGGCCUUUGUUGGCUCCCCUAGGACUGUAGGCUGCGCUUCACCCCUGCUCUGCCCCACUACUUCUCCUCCGCGCGGCCCCACCUUUUCAGAGGAGUUGGCUCAACAAGGCGAGAGAGAGUAAAGCAACCAUCAUGAUGAAUCCCUCCCACAGCUCGGUCAUUUAUUACUUCUGUCCGGCUUUGGCUCGCUCCUGCCCUUUUGGCUCGGCUAUCGA
rnacentral:lncRNA from 1 species